rnacentral:rRNA from 1 species
GCUGGCGGCAGGCCUAAUACAUGCAAGUCGAACGAUAGAUGAGAGCUUGCUCUUAUCGAAAGUGGCGCACGGGUGCGUAACGCGUAUGCAACCUACCUUAAUCAGGGGGAUAGCCCGGAGAAAUCCGGAUUAACACCGCAUAAAAACACAGGAUAGCAUUAUCCAAUGUUCAAAUAUUUAUAGGAUUGAGAUGGGCAUGCGUGUCAUUAGCUAGUUGGCGGGGUAACGGCCCACCAAGGCGACGAUGACUAGGGGAUCUGAGAGGAUGACCCCCCACACUGGUACUGAGACACGGACCAGACUCCUACGGGAGGCAGCAGUAAGGAAUAUUGGUCAAUGGAGGCAACUCUGAACCAGCCAUGCCGCGUGCAGGAAGACUGCCCUAUGGGUUGUAAACUGCUUUUAUCCGGGAAUAAACCUCUUUACGAGUAGAGAGCUGAAUGUACCGGAAGAAUAAGGAUCGGCUAACUCCGUGCCAGCAGCCGCGGUAAUACGGAGGAUCCAAGCGUUAUCCGGAUUUAUUGGGUUUAAAGGGUGCGUAGGCGGCCUGUUAAGUCAGGGGUGAAAGACGGUAGCUCAACUAUCGCAGUGCCCUUGAUACUGAUGGGCUUGAAUGGACUAGAGGUAGGCGGAAUGAGACAAGUAGCGGUGAAAUGCAUAGAUAUGUCUCAGAACACCGAUUGCGAAGGCAGCUUACUAUGGUCUUAUUGACGCUGAGGCACGAAAGCGUGGGGAUCAAACAGGAUUAGAUACCCUGGUAGUCCACGCCCUAAACGAUGAACACUCGCUGUUGGCGAUACACAGUCAGCGGCUAAGCGAAAGCGUUAAGUGUUCCACCUGGGGAGUACGGUCGCAAGAUUGAAACUCAAAGGAAUUGACGGGGGCCCGCACAAGCGGAGGAGCAUGUGGUUUAAUUCGAUGAUACGCGAGGAACCUUAC